rnacentral:rRNA from 1 species
CCUACGGGGAGCAGCAGUGGGGGAUAUUGCACAAUGGGGGGAACCCUGAUGCAGCGACGCCGCGGGGGUGAAGGAGUAUUUCGGUAUGUAAAGCCCUAUCGGCAGGGAAGAAAUUGGACGGUACCUGAAUAAGAAGCCUCGGCUAACUACGUGCCAGCAGCAGCGGUACCACGGAGGGGGCAAGCGUUAUCCGGAUCCACUGGGUGAAAAGGGAGCGUAGACGGCCAUGCAAGCCAGGGGUGAAAGCCCGGGGCCCAACCCCGGGACUGCCCUUGGAACUGCAUGGCUGGAGUGCGGGAGGGGCAGGCGGAAUUCCUGGUGUAGCGGUGAAAUGCGUAGAUAUCAGGAGGAACACCGGCGGCGAAGGCGGCCUGCUGGACCGCGACUGACGUUGAGGCUCGAAAGCGUGGGGAGCGAACAGGAUUAGAUACCCCUGUAGUC